rnacentral:rRNA from 1 species
CCUACGGGUGGCAGCAGUGGGGAAUAUUGCACAAUGGGGGAAACCCUGAUGCAGCGACGCCGCGUGAGUGAAGAAGUAAUUCGUUAUGUAAAGCUCCAUCAGCAGGGAAGAAAAUGACGGUACCUGUGUAAGAAGCCACGGCUAACUACGUGCCAGAAGCCGCGGUAACACGUAGGGGGCAAGCGUUAUCCGGAUUUACUGGGUGUAAAGGGAGCGUAGACGGCAGUGCAAGUCUGGAGUGAAAGGCGCGGGCUCAACCCCGGAACUGCUUUGGAAACUGUACGGCUGGAGUGCAGGAGAGGUAGGUGGAAUGCCUGGUGUAGCGGUGAAAUGCGUAGAUAUUAGGAGGAACACCAGUGGCGAAGGCGGCUUACUAGACUAUAACUGACGUUGAGGCUCGAAAGCGUGGGGAGCAAACAGGAUUAGAUACCCGAGUAGUC